rnacentral:rRNA from 1 species
CCUACGGGAGGCAGCAGUGGGGAAUUUUGGACAAUGGGCGCAAGCCUGAUCCAGCAAUGCCGCGUGCAGGAUGAAGGCCUUCGGGUUGUAAACUGCUUUUGUACGGAACGAAACGGUCCUUUCUAAUACAAGGGGCUAAUGACGGUACCGUAAGAAUAAGCACCGGCUAACUACGUGCCAGCAGCCGCGGUAAUACGUAGGGUGCGAGCGUUAAUCGGAAUUACUGGGCGUAAAGCGUGCGCAGGCGGUUAUAUAAGACAGAUGUGAAAUCCCCGGGCUCAACCUGGGACCUGCAUUUGUGACUGCAUAGCUAGAGUACGGUAGAGGGGGAUGGAAUUCCGCGUGUAGCAGUGAAAUGCGUAGAUAUGCGGAGGAACACCGAUGGCGAAGGCAAUCCCCUGGACCUGUACUGACGCUCAUGCACGAAAGCGUGGGGAGCAAACAGGAUUAGAUACCCUGGUAGUCCACGCCCUAAACGAUGUCAACUGGUUGUUGGGUCUUCACUGACUCAGUAACGAAGCUAACGCGUGAAGUUGACCGCCUGGGGAGUACGGCCGCAAGGUUGAAACGUCAAAUGAAAUUGACGG